AUUGAACGCUGGCGGCAUGCCUUACACAUGCAAGUCGAACGGCAGCACGGGUGCUUGCACCUGGUGGCGAGUGGCGAACGGGUGAGUAAUACAUCGGAACAUGUCCUGUAGUGGGGGAUAGCCCGGCGAAAGCCGGAGCAAUACCGCAUACGAUCCACGGAUGAAAGCGGGGGACCUUCGGGCCUCGCGCUAUAGGGUUGGCCGAUGGCUGAUUAGCUGGUUUGUGGGGUAAAGGCCUACCCAGGCGACGAUCAGUAGCUGGUCUGAGAGGACGACCAGCCACACUGGGAUUGAAACACGGCCCAGACUCCUACGGGAGGCAGCAGUGGGGAAUGUUGGACAAUGGGAGAAAGCCUGAUCCAGCAAUGGCGCGUGUGUGGAGAAGGCCUUCGGGUUGUAAAGCACUUUUGUCCGGAAAGAAAUCCUUGGCUCUAAUACAGUCGGGGGAUGACGGUACCGGAAGAAUAAGCACCGGCUAACUACGUG
rnacentral:rRNA from 1 species